GGUGAACGCUAGCGGCAGGCCUAACACAUGCAAGUCGAGGGGCAGCACGGAUUGCUUUGCAAUCUGGUGGCGACCGGCGCACGGGUGCGUAACGCGUAUACAACCUACCUUUUUGGAGGGGAAUAGCCCAGAGAAAUUUGGAUUAAUACCCCAUAGUAUAUAGGAAUCUCCUGAUUUUUUAUAUUAAACAUUUAUGGCCAUUAGAUGGGUAUGCGUCCUAUUAGCUAGUUGGUGUGGUAACGGCACACCAAGGCUACGAUAGGUAGGGGUCCUGAGAGGGAGAUCCCCACACUGGUAUGAGACACGGACCAGACUCCUACGGGAGGCAGCAGUGAGGAAUAUUGGACAAUGGGCGAGAGCCUGAUCCAGCCAUGCCGCGUGCAGGAAGACUGCCCUAUGGGUUGUAAACUGCUUUUACAGAGGAAGAACCACCCCCACGUGUGGGGGUUUGACGGUACUCUGCGAAUAAGGAUCGGCUAACUCCGUG
rnacentral:rRNA from 1 species